rnacentral:rRNA from 1 species
AGAGUUUGAUCAUGGCUCAGAUUGAACGCUGGCGGCAUGCUUUACACAUGCAAGUCGAGCGGCAGCGCGGGGGCAACCCUGGCGGCGAGCGGCGAACGGGUGAGUAAUGCAUCGGAACGUGUCCCGUAGUGGGGGAUAACCCGGCGAAAGCCGGGCUAAUACCGCAUAUGCUCUACGGAGGAAAGGGGGGGAUCCGCAAGGACCUCUCGCUAUGGGAGCGGCCGAUGUCCGAUUAGCUUGUUGGUGGGGUAAUGGCUUACCAAGGCGACGAUCGGUAGCUGGUCUGAGAGGAUGAUCAGCCACACUGGGACUGAGACACGGCCCAGACUCCUACGGGAGGCAGCAGUGGGGAAUUUUGGACAAUGGGGCAACCCUGAUCCAGCCAUGCCGCGUGCGGGAAGAAGGCCUUCGGGUUGUAAACCGCUUUUAGUCGGGAAGAAAAGGCCUGGGCGAAUACCCUGGGUUUUGACGGUACCGGCGGAAUAAGCACCGGCUAACUACGUG